rnacentral:misc_RNA from 1 species
GAUGAAGAACGCAGCGAAAUGCGAUAAGUAAUGUGAAUUGCAGAAUUCAGUGAAUCAUCGAAUCUUUGAACGCACAUUGCGCCCGCCAGUAUUCUGGCGGGCAUGCCUGUUCGAGCGUCAUUUCAACCAUCAAGCCCCCGGCUUGUGUUGGGGACCUGCGGCUGCCGCAGGCCCUGAAAACCAGUGGCGGGCUCGCUAGUCACGCCGAGCGUAGUAAUACAUCUCGCUCAGGGCGUGCUGCGGGUUCCGGCCGUUAAAAAGCCUUAUUUACCCAAGGUUGACCUCGGAUCAGGUAGGAAGACCCGCUGAACUUAAGCAUAUCAAUAAGCGGAGGA